GAUGAACGCUGGCGGCGUGCCUAAUACAUGCCAGUCGAGCGAACAGACGAGGAGCUUGCUCCUCUGACGUUAGCGGCGGACGGGUGAGUAACACGUGGAUAACCUACCUAUAAGACUGGGAUAACUUCGGGAAACCUGAUCUAAUACCGGAUAAUAUAUUGAACCGCAUGGUUCAAUAGUGAAAGACGGUUCUGCUGUCACUUAUAGAUGGUUCCGCGCCGCAUUAGCUAGUUGGUAAGGUAACGGCUUACCAAGGCAACGAUGCGUAGCCGAUCUGAGAGGGUGAUCGGCCACACUGGAACUGAGACACGGUCCAGACUCCUACGGGAGGCAGCAGUAGGGAAUCUUGCGCAAUGGGCGAAAGCCUGACGGAGCAACGCCGCGUGAGUGAUGAAGGUCUUCGGAUCGUAAAACUCUGUUAUUAGGGAAGAACAAAUGUGUAAGUAACUAUGUACGUCUUGACGGUACCUAAUCAGAAAGCCACGGCUAACUACGUG
rnacentral:rRNA from 1 species